UACGAAGGGUGCAAGCGUUACUCGGAAUUACUGGGCGUAAAGCGUGCGUAGGUGGUGAGUUAAGUCUGUCGUGAAAGCCCCCGGCUCAACUGGGGAGGGUCACGCGAUACUGAUCGACUUGGAAGGCAGGAGAGGGUAGUGGAAUUCCCGGUGUAGUGGUGAAAUGCGUAGAUAUCGGGAGGAACACCAGUGGCGAAGGCGGCUCUCUGGACAGGUACUGACGCUGAGACGCGAAAAGCGUGGGGAGCAAACAGGG
rnacentral:rRNA from 1 species